GGUAUGGGAUGAGCUUGCGUCCGAUUAGCUAGUUGGCGGGGCAACGGCCCACCAAGGCGACGAUCGGUAGCCGGCCUGAGAGGGUGAUCGGCCACAUUGGGACUGAGAUACGGCCCAGACUCCUACGGGAGGCAGCAGUAGGGAAUAUUGCACAAUGGGGGAAACCCUGAUGCAGCAACGCCACGUGUGGGAAGAAGCAUUUCGGUGUGUAAACCACUGUCGUGAGGGAAUAAGGCGUCUUCUCGGAGGCGUUGAAUGUACCUCGAAAGGAAGCACCGGCAGACUUCGUGCCAGCAGCCGCGGUAAUACGAGGGGUGCAAGCGUUGUUCGGAAUCACUGGGCGUAAAGGGAGCGUAGGCGGAGAUGCAAGCGGACUGUACAAUACCGGGGCCCAACCCCGGGCCUGCAGUUCGGACUGCACCUCUUGGAUAGUUCAGGGGCAGGC
rnacentral:rRNA from 1 species